AAGCUCAUACAUUUCUAUAACUAGAAAGUUCUUUUCAAUUUACUACCUCUCUGGGCUAUCAUAUUAACCCGUUAAGGACAGAAUCUUAAAAACUUUGUUUGCACCAAAAUAUUUUAUAAAUCAUUUAUUAUUUGCUUAUUUUCAAAUUGCUUAUAAUCACCUUCUGAAAAAAAUGACACAAACAUCAUUUUCUGUGAAGAAAUUUUCUGGUGUCCAGAUAACAUCUGAAACAUUGAAUAUUUGAUAAAAUUUCCUAGUUUAACGUCCUCCCUCUCAGUAACACCUUUCACUGGAAAUUGUGUAUUUACUCAGUUUAUCCCUACUUGCUUCUCUAACACAAUUAUUAUUCUUUUAGCUUUUCAAAAACCCUGUUUUAAAAUUAUAUUGAUUUAGUGUGUCUGUCUUUAAUAGAGUAGAAAUCCUCAACUGCUUUCCUUUGUAUGUCACCUGUUAAGCGUGAUUGUUAAACUGCAAUAGAACAUCCAGUUAAUUAGAAGAGUCAAGACUCUAUCCUGGCAUCGCCCACCUCCGAAAUUCAGCCACUUCGUGGAUAAAAAGCAACAGCUGUGAGAAAGCAGAGCGCUGCUAACAUUGCACACCUGGGCAAGGCAGGCAAUAAAUGGAAAGACUUUCUCUAUCUCAAUUUGCAGGGGCUUGUGGGGGUGGUGGUUUAAAAGCUGGAAUGUAAUGACCCCACUUGGGAAUCUGAACCAAAAACUCAGGGUUAAAUCCUGCCUUAUGAUACAAGAUGGAUACGGCCAUUAUCAAAGAGAAAGUCUGCUGAGCACCAGGCCAGAGCACAUCCUUGGGGAGGAGAGAGAGGCUGCCUCCUAUAGCAUUACUGCAGGUGCCAGCCACAGAGUAACUCCAUUCUCUUCUGGGUAGACCCAAGCUGGACCUACCAGAAGACACGUUCAACUGCAAGAUUCCACUCGCGACGCCAGAAUUCGUCAAGAGGUCUGCAUUGUUGUUUCUCACUGAGGCAUAGGACCGACUGCAGGCCAUUGUUUCUCCAGCUCAAGUGGGCCUGUCUGGUUCGUGUGGGAAGAAUGGGGGUGACAUGCAUGAGUUCCUGAGGAUAAAAGAACUACCGGUUCUAGGAAGGGACGGGAGUCUAGCCACUAAUGCAGAGUAAAUAAACAUUUUUCACCACCUCUUGCUCCAUGUGAUUUUUUUAAAGGUCAAGAGCUGCCAUUACAGUAUUUUAAAAGCUUCAAAUUAUGUUUAAAGAAUGUAUCACUGAACUCCCAGAAACCUUAUCAGAAUUUGGGAACCUACGGUGAUGGUUUGGUCCUUGAGUUUAUCAUCACCGGGAGGCGGGGUGUGAAAGAAAUGCAGAUGCCGCGGUGUUUCUGAUAUCCUGCAAUUUAGCUUGAAGGGAAGGUUGCUUAGGUUCUUCCAAAUUUUCUUCAAAAUUCAUUGAAGUGUUGAGACACUUCCAUUUCAAAAUUUCACGCAGUCCGUAUUUUGGUCACACAUUUGGGACAGACAAGAAUAAGACUCUGGGGGCCUUUCACCACAAACAUUCUUUGCGUGCUCAAAAUGCAAAGAAUGGACCAUGUUCCUGUGGAGGCUCCAAAUGUAUGCGUGAAGGAAAGAGAGAAGUAAAAGGCAGAGGGAGAUUUCUUUUUUAAAUUAAAGAAUAAAAAGCUUACUUCAAGGAAGUGUAGAGUAACAGCAGAAAGACUUCCUUAGCAACUGAGGUUUUCAGAUUUCAAAUUAGGAGCCCUUACAUCACGGCUGCCGGGCUAAAAAUCAAUUCUAUAUUUUCGGAGUUAAUACUAAGGAUUGCACUUAACAGACAUGGAGACGAAUAAGGUAUGCAGAAGGAGUAAAAGCAGCACACACGCACAAAUUCAGGCCUUAGUUUUGGCCAUGAUCCAGCACAAUGAUGUUUCAACCAGAUUUGAAAAAAAAAAUCAAUAACAUCUGUGGUAUAAUGGUUAAUUAAAGCAGCUCUUCAGCAGAGCUCAGGAGGAGAGGCUCGGCCUGAAAUUCAGACAGCUGAAGCUUGAUUAUCAGGAAAGAAUGCUUUUUUAGCUAUGAGUGGAUAGGCCAAAAGCUGCAAUGGGCCAAAAUGGAGAGAAAAAUUGCUUUUAUUUUAACUUUCUUUAAGUAAUCAAUACAUGCUUUUCACCUGUAUUAGGACACUGCUCAGCUCCAAAGCCUGUUACUCCACUUCAGCAUAAAUUCUACUUACUGUCUUUUGAAACUUAGGUUUAAAAAGGAUCCCCCGUCCCCUGUAAAGCAAAAGAAAAAGAAGCAGAAGAAAAGAACAUGCAGGUGUGGGUGGGUGUCCUUGAGAGCAGUUAAAGCUCAGGCUCUAGGAUGCUCCGAAGGGUAGAAUCCCUAAGCUCUGAGCAAAGCUGACUGACCUUGGGGUACGCAGAGGUCAUAGCCAAAGUAGGAGGCUGCGCAAUACAACAACAAAACUAAAAAUUCUCAAGGGAGCUAUGAGGAGCAGGGUCAAUUUCCACCUUCUUUUUGCCUUCCUAUUGUUUUGAGUACUGUGCCAGGGAUGUUUUCUUUACUUUUCUAAGGACAAAGAUCAAAGAAUCAACAAUGAUGUCUCCUGGCCACAGACGGGAAGGUCAGCAGGUGACUUCUCCACGAAAAAACAGUUGGUAACGCCACAGCUGACUAUUUUCUUGGCGCCUUGCUUUGGCUUCUAUUUCUCGUGUUGUAAUCUGCAUCGUCACGUCAUUGUCAAAUUUGGGGAAGCAUUUGCAAAACCACAUUGCCCUCUCUGGAUCACACAAGUCCUCACAAGAAUACCGAAGAAUAAUAUGGUUAGUCAAUCGGUCAUUUGUUUUUUCCACUCAACACGUUUUUCUUCACAUUGCCACGCAUGUGCCCAUCACCGUGCUGGGUGCCAAGGUUCCAAAGACAAAUAAGAGAUGGUUCUAGGUCUAGGAAGCUCACAGCCUGUUUGAGGGAAGUGUGCUUGUGAACAAAUAAUUGCAAACACAGCAAAAAAGAGCACAAAUAGAAGCGUCUACAAGGGCUGUGGAUUUUGAAACUCCCUCCUGUCAAUUUCACUCGGAAAAGGGCAGAGUGAGGGCUUGGGAGCUUCAAGGAGGGGUGACGCUAGAGCAGAUCUUGGAGGAUGAGGAAGAGUUCCCGGGCAGACAAGGGUGAUAGAAAGGCAGAAAAGGCAUUCCGAAGUUAGGUAUACUUACGUGAACUAUACGGAUUGGUUCAGAAGAAUAUACAUGGAAGAAGUGAUCGGAAGGUCUUAUAAAAUCCUUAUAAUUAAUGUCUGUAUUUUACAUCGCCUCUCCUCAUUUUAAGAACUAUGAGGAUCGGAGAUUACAACUCCUUCCUUUGUAGCUAUCACAAUCUACUAGUCUUUUUCUCUUUCAUCUGACCAUAGUCUCUCAUUGGAGGUUAGAAAAUUCAUUGGUAUCUUCUCUUCUCUAAAUUAAAUGCAUUCUCUAUCUUUGGCUUUUCCUCAGGAGUCCAGUUUUUCAACCUAUGACUUUUCUUUUUAACCUUUCUCUGAGCCCUUCUCAGAUUCUCUCCCUUUCUCCACAAUUUCAAAAUGUGAACUAGAUUUAAAGACAGCAGGUCUGCCCAUCAGUACACUGUAUAUUAAAGUAUGCUUUAGAAGAACUAAUAAUAAUGCCUAACACUUUUCAUCUUAAAAACGUUGGUCUCUGGGUGAAAUCCUUGCCCAAGAAACAUGAACUCUCUGGGCUUCUGUUUCCCAGUCUG
rnacentral:lncRNA from 1 species